CAGGGACAGAAGUCGAUGCAGAAAUAUUCAGUGACCUCAUUGGACAAGGCUGUGGUGCUGACUGUUUUCUCAAAUGAUGAAUUUUCAGACUCUUUGUCUUCUGAGAAGUCUGACAAAAGCAACAGUUCAAGUGCAUCGACUGUAAUCUUACAUGAGGUCCCUAACAAGAGACAAAGAAAAGAGGACACAUCUGCACUGUCUGCAAAACAGGCAACUCCCUACUAAAGCUAUCAGAGAACAGUAUGCUCUUGGCAUAGUGAUACUGUUCCCUCAGAGAUCCAUAUUCCAAGAAAGGCUACGAACACUUUUAUGAUGCUGCAAGCAACAUAGGAUACAAUGCUUAGCAUAUGAAAACAGUCCACAGGAAGAUUAGACGAGGAUCUUUGCCACUAGACAGCCCUCAUGAUGUUUCUCCAGGAGGCCCAAAAUGCCAAAGGGCUACUAAUUUUGAAGGGCAACUUGAUGGGAGUGCUUGCAAAGAGGCCAUUUCUUUGCUCAGCCAUAC